UUCCCGUGGUGGCACAGCAGUAAGGAACCCAGCUAGUAUCCAUGAGGACAUAGGUUCGAUCCCUGGCCUCGCUCAGUGAGUUAAGGAUCCGGCACCCUUAACCCACGGAGCGAGGCCAGGAAUUGAACCCGCAACCUCAUGGUUCCUAGGCAGAUUCGUUAAUCUGCGCCACGACGGGAACUGCCCCCUCUCCUUUCUGAUCAGCAGUUUCUUCUCCAUCCUCUCACCCUUCCAGAGGCCAUGUCUGCAGACUCAGGCCAUCCUGGAUUCUUGCUUCCGAGUUGCGUGUCCCCAGGAGAAGCUGGAGCAGGGGGCUGUCUCCCUCCGGAGGGAUGGCCCAGUCGUGCCGAAGCCCACGGGUUCACAGCCAGCCCGGGUCCUUGUGGGACGUGGUCAGCAGGACGCUGGUGGGCCUCCCAUGCCUGAGGCUGGGGGCUGGGGGCCAGGAGGGCCCCUGGGCCAGAAUCCUGGAGCCACUAAGUUGAGGGGGGCUGAGCUGGGAAGAGGCUGGAGGGUCACCCGAGGAGUGGUUAGCCACCUGGUGUAGACAGCCGCAAACUCGAGUCGGGACAGUGACGUGGCGGCGGGUGUGCGGCUGUGCACUGCUCUCUUGCAGAGGGGUCUGCGUGGCCUUGCUCUGUGGCCUUGCAUGUGUGCACACGCCCCGUACACACCUCCCUGCACACAUAGAAGCACACGAGUGUGUCUGACGGGGGCACUUUGUGUUCCUGCGUGUCCUGGCUGCCUCCGAUCUGCAGUGGGUUUGGGGGAGGGGGCAGCACUCGCCCUCCUGCUGGCUUCCCUUAGGAACCCUCUUGUCAUUCCUGGUGCCUGGGGAGCCUCUGGGCUGGGCUGGAGGGGCUGUGGUCCAGGGAGAAGGGCAGGGCGUGUGUGUGCAUGUGUGUGUGUGUGCAUGCGUGGGCCUGCUUGGCCUGUGCAUCUCAGCACACCUGUGGGGCUCCGCGUGCCCAUUUGCCCCUGUUGGGGCUGCACCCCGGGCCUGGCUGCAUGUGAACGUCCAGCCUGCACACAAGCGCCCUGGGCCCUCGCCAGUCACUGCAGGCCCCGAGGUCUCCGUGUGCGCCACGGCGGCGUCGAUGGAGCUUCUUACCCGCAGGUGAACGGCCCUGCUUCUCACACGGUCCCCAGAGGGACGUGUCCACGAAAUGGUCACCACUGUGAGCCUCUGCCAGCAUCAGGGUUCAGGCUGAGGCUGGGGCUGGGGUCAGAGGUCGGUCUGUAGCAGGGCCAGUGUCAGGCUGGGGCCAGAGACUGUGGCUGGGAUCAGAAGUCCAUUCUUGGCCGAGGGCGAGUGUCCGUCUCUGGCGGGGUUGGGUCGGGGUGCUUGCACUGUGCCUGGGGUCAAGGGUCAGUCUGUCUGGAGCCACUGGUGCAGAGCACGGGUGAGGCCUCAGCCCCACUGCGGCCCCCCUGCCCCUGGGUGGGGCCGUGCUAGGUGCCAGCCAGGGCAAGGGGCUGCCAGGAGCUGCUCCCAUGGCCAGACCAGAAGUGCCAAGAGCAGGUGGCCUUGGUCAUAGCCAGGACCAGGCUGCCCUCUGGACCCAGGACCUUUUGAGGGAAUGCAGAGCAGGUGAGGCGCUGGGAGACCCCUGCCGCCGGCCCCCGUGCUCGCCACCCCUCGGCCCUCCGUUCUGCUCCCUCUCUCACCCUGCUCCCUUCCCCGCCCUCUGUCCCCUGUCCCCACUUCCUCGUCUCUGUCUUCCUUCCCUCUUCCUUGUGCCACUCAUUUGCCCGAGCCCUGCCUGCAGCCACCAGCCUCUGCCCUCAGUGACCAGGCCCUGCCCUCCAAGUUCAGGGACCCGGCUCAGUAUCUUCAGGAGCUGAGAGAGGAAGGUCACAGGCGUGCGUGGGCUGCCGACAGGUGCGUGAGAGCCAGAGGUCAGGCACGUCCAGGUGAGGCCACCCACCCAGGGAAGAAGGCUCCCUAGCAGGUGCUUCUGCCCUGCCUGAGUCUGGAGCUGUGUGAUCUUGUCACGUGGCCUCCCACAGUCUAGAAAGGAAGGACGGACAGACAGACAGAUGGCAGAGAAAGCCACAGACAGCAGAGAGUUCCCGUCGAGGCUCAGCAGAAACGAAUCUGACUAGGAUCCAUGAUGAUGUGGGUUCGAUCCCUGGCCUUGCUCAGUGGGUGAAGGAUCCAGCAUUGCUGUGAGCUGUGGUGUGGGUCGCAGACACGGCUCAGAUUUGGCGUUGCUGUGGCUGUGGUGCAGGCUGGCAGCUGCAGCUCUGAUUCGACCCCUCGCCCGGGAACCUCCAUAUGCCGCGGGGGUGAG
rnacentral:lncRNA from 1 species